rnacentral:tRNA from 1 species
GCGAAAGUAGCUCAGUUGGUAGAGCGUCAGCCUUCCAAGCUGAAUGUCGCCGGUUCGAACACGGUCUUUCGCUC